AGUGAACGCUGGCGGCGUGCCUAAUACAUGCAAGUCGAACGGAAUUUAAAAGAGCUUGCUCUUUUAAAUUUAGUGGCGCACGGGUGAGUAAUAUAUAGUUAAUCUGCCCCUUGCUGGAGGACAACAGUUAGAAAUGACUGCUAAUACUCCAUACUCCUUUUUACCAUAAGAUAAAUCGGGAAAGAAUUUCGGCAAGGGAUGAGACUAUAUCGUAUCAGCUAGUCGGUGGGGUAACGGCCUACCGAGGCUAUGACGCGUAACUGGUCUGAGAGGAUGAUCAGUCACAUUGGAACUAAGACACGGUCCAAACUCCUACGGGAGGCAGCAGUAGGGAAUAUUGCGCAAUGGGGGAAACCCUGACGCAGCAACGCCGCGUGGAGGAUGACACUUUUCGGAGCGUAAACUCCUUUUGUUAGGGAAGAAUAAGACGGUACCU
rnacentral:rRNA from 1 species